CAAAAAGAAAGCGGCUCGAUCCUCCUUUUCCUACAGAGCACCGCAAUUAUGGAACAACCUCCCGCACACUUUCAAAUCUUCCCAAAGCCUAAAGUCCUUUAAGAGAUCCCUCUCUACAUACCUCAAAACAGAAUGCACCUGUCAUGGUUAAUUAUAUAUUGCCUACCUGUUCUAUGUUACAUUUUGUAUAUAUUGUGUAUUAAUAUUGUUUUUGUAUUUUAAUGUACCCUAUUGUAUCAAUGCAAUGUUUUGUGGACCCAGGACAUAUUUGAAAACGAG